rnacentral:rRNA from 1 species
GCGAGCGUUGUCCGGAAUCACUGGGCGUAAAGGGCGCGUAGGUGGCCCGACACGUCAACGGUGAAAGCUCGAUGCUCAACAUCGAGUCGGCCGUCGAUACUGUCAGGCUGGAGCACUGUAGAGGCUCAUGGAAUUCCGGGUGUAGCGGUGGAAUGCGUAGAGAUCCGGAAGAACACCGGUGGCGAAGGCGGUGAGCUGGGCAGUAGCUGACACUGAGGCGCGACAGCGUGGGGAGCAAACAGG